AUGUGUUGGUCUACAAACUUGGCUUUUGACAGAGCUGUUGUGUAGCUCAGGCUAGCCUCAAAACUCCCAGCAGUCCUCCUACCCACAGCCUUCCACAUACUGGGUCUAUAGAAUAGCACACACCACCUAAUUCAGCCGUGUGUUUUUAUUUGGUCAUUUGUUGGUGCUGUCAUUUCCACUUCAUUUUCCAGUCACCGUGUAGCCUGCCUGACACUUCCUAAUCUUCUUAGCUGUAUUCAGAACUAGAACUGAUAUGAUCAGGCAUGGCUUCCUCCUCUUUGUUAUGUUCCCUUAGCUUCUCUCCCCAUCACAGUUUUAUUCCUGAAACGUUCAAGGUUUGCCUCAGUGUCCCACAAACCACAUCAACAAAUGCUAUGAAGGGGACACAGGCCCCCAAAUUUUACUGGUUCUGGUGUCAGUAUAUUUUAAAAAGCUCUCUAAGGCUAAGAGAAUACCCACAGAUGCCAGUGUGAACAAUGACAGUUUAACUAUCAGGGCCAGAGAGACGGAUCGGCUGUUCAGGACACUUGCCGUUCCUACAGAGGACCAGGUUUACUUCUUAGUUUCCAUAUUGGGCAGCUCACAAACAUUUGCAAUUCCAUUUCCAGGGAAUCAGGUGCCUUCUCUUGGCCUCCAUAGGUUCCUGUGUGUCUAUGGUGCUUGUACAGACAAGAAGGUACACACACAUACACGUAAAAACCUGUUUUUUAAGUUAACAAGUCAUCAUCAGUGAACUGGAAAAUAAUUGUACGAAAUAUACCCAAUGCAGCAUCCUCAGACUGUGGUUGUAGCUCAGCAGCAAAACUGAAACAGCUCACUAUCGGGAAAAUUGUGUUAUCUGCUUUGUACAUAGUGGGGAAGCAUUGGGUAAGGUCACGUGCCAUCUCAGAUUGUAGGGAGCAAUUGCAAGAAUGAAGCUCAUUUACUGAUAUUUAAAAGGGUUGUCUUAAAGGAAGACUUUAUAAUAUUAUAAUUGACUUCUGUCAGUUUUCAUCUUAGAUACUCUAGUGACCAUUUUGUAAUCUCUUCUAUGAUGGGGUACAAUGUGAGACUGCCAGAUUGAUUGCCUUAGGAAAGGAAAGUGACCUCCCCUAGCUCACAGGCUGAUCUGAGAACUCAUUAUUUAAUACUUAAAGCCACAUAUGGCCCUGCUAGUUUGGCAGAGUGGUAUGUGUGCACAUCUGCUUACUUGUUUGUAAACACCUUGCCCUUUUAAAUUUCAGUUCCAAGAACCCAGAAGAGGCAGAACUAGAAGACACCCUCAAUCAAGUGAUGGUGGUCUUCAAGUACAUCGAGGACAAAGAUGUAUUUCAGAAGUUCUAUGCAAAGAUGCUUGCCAAGAGACUGGUACAUCAGAACAGUGCGAGUGACGAUGCUGAAGCAAGCAUGAUCUCCAAGUUAAAGCAAGCUUGUGGUUUUGAAUACACUUCCAAACUUCAGCGAAUGUUUCAGGACAUUGGUGUAAGCAAAGAUCUGAAUGAACAGUUCAAAAAACACCUGACGAAUUCAGAGCCGCUGGACUGUGAGUACUGCGUGCUGGCUCAUAGGAGGGCUCUUUGGGCUUUUGGUAGCGGAUGAGACAAGUGACAGAAUAUGGAUUGAGGGUGGUAAAUGGGGUCAGAGUUUCAAAGACUAAGAAGCAGGCGUUUCCUUCCAAGUGCUCUCUCCUCCUCCUCACUCCCAGAUGCUAUGAUGGCAGCUUUUGCUGGGGCCAGUCA